GUUCUUUGCAGCAGCAAAGUCAUGCCGUGAGCGUUUGCAAGAACGCCAACCGAACGGGGCUCACUCUU
rnacentral:RNase_MRP_RNA from 1 species